CCCGCUGAACUUAAGCAUAUCAAUAAGCGGAGGAAAAGAAACCAACAGGGAUUGCCUUAGUAACGGCGAGUGAAGCGGCAACAGCUCAAAUUUGAAAUCUGGCUCUUUCAGGGCCCGAGUUGUAAUUUGUAGAAGAUGCUUUGGGUGUGGCUCUGGUCUAAGUUCCUUGGAACAGGACGUCAUAGAGGGUGAGAAUCCCGUACGUGACUGGUUGCCUUCGCCCGUGUAAAGCUCUUUCGACGAGUCGAGUUGUUUGGGAAUGCAGCUCAAAAUGGGUGGUAAAUUUCAUCUAAAGCUAAAUAUUGGCCAGAGACCGAUAGCGCACAAGUAGAGUGAUCGAAAGAUGAAAAGCACUUUGGAAAGAGAGUUAAACAGUACGUGAAAUUGUUGAAAGGGAAGCGCUUGCAACCAGACUUGCGCGCUGUUGAUCAUCCGAGCUUUUGCCUGGUGCACUCGGCAGCGUUCAGGCCAGCAUCGGUUUUGGUGGGCGGAUAAAGGCCUUGGGAAUGUAGCUUCUUUCGGGGAGUGUUAUAGCCCUCGGUGCAAUGCGCCCUACCGGGACCGAGGACCGCGCUUCGGCAAGGAUGCUGGCGUAAUGGUUGUAAGCGACCCGUCUUGAAACACGG
rnacentral:rRNA from 1 species